ACUCCUACGGGAGGCAGCAGUGGGGAAUAUUGCACAAUGGGCGCAAGCCUGAUGCAGCCAUGCCGCGUGUAUGAAGAAGGCCUUCGGGUUGUAAAGUACUUUCAGCAGUGAGGAAGGUGGAUAUGUUAAUAGCAUAUUCAUUUGACGUUAGCUGCAGAAGAAGCACCGGCUAACUCCGUGCCAGCAGCCGCGGUAAUACGGAGGGUGCGAGCGUUAAUCGGAAUUACUGGGCGUAAAGCGCAUGCAGGUGGUUUGUUAAGUCAGAUGUGAAAGUCCGGGGCUCAACCUCGGAAUUGCAUUUGAAACUGGCAAACUAGAGUACUGUAGAGGGGGUAGAAUUUCAGGUGUAGCGGUGAAAUGCGUAGAGAUCUGAAGGAAUACCAGUGGCGAAGGCGGCCCCCUGGACAGAUACUGACACUCAGAUGCGAAAGCGUGGGGAGCAAACAGGAUUAGAUACCCUGGUAG
rnacentral:rRNA from 1 species